CCGCGAAUGGCUCAUUAAAUCAGUUAUGAUUCAUUGGAUGUUGACCAAUUACAUGGAUAACUGUGGUAAUUCUAGAGCUAAUACAUGCCGAAAAGCUUUGUCGUAAGGCAAGGUGCAUUUAUUAGACGAAGACCAAAGGUGGAAACACCUAACGGUGGUGACUCUGGAUAACUGCAGCUGACCGCAUGGCCUARUGCCGGCGGCAUAUCCUUCGAGUGUCUGCCUUAUCAACUUUCGAUGGUAGGUUAUAUGCCUACCAUGGUUGUAACGGGUAACGGAGAAUCAGGGUUCGAUUCCGGAGAGGCAGCCUGAGAGACGGCUACCACAUCCAAGGAAGGCAGCAGGCGCGCAAAUUACCCAAUAUCAGAACGAUGAGGUAGUGACGAAAAAUAACAAUACGGGCUYCGCUUACGCGUUCUCGUAAUUGGAAYGAGUACAGUUUAAAUCCUUUAACGAGGAUCAAUUGGAGGGCAAGUCUGGUGCCAGCAGCCGCGGUAAUUCCAGCUCCAAUAGCGUAUAUUAAAGUURUUGUGGUUAAAAAGCUCGUAGUUGGAUCUCAGCUUAUGCAUAGUGGUCCACUUGACGGUGGUUACUGUUAUGCUGAGCAUUAUACUAUAUUGUUCUGUGGUGUUCUUAAUUGAGUGUCACAGGCGAUUAGUACGUUUACUUUGAAAAAAUUAGAGUGCUCAAAGCAGGCAUUAUGGCCUGAAUACUGUUGCAYRGAAUAAUGGAAUAGGACCUUGGUUCUGUUCUGUUGGUCUUUGGAAUCGAGGUAAUGAUUAACAGGGACUGACGGGGACAUUAGUACUGCGGCGAUAGAGGUGAAAUUCUUGGACCGCCGCAUGACUAACUAAAGCGAAAGCAUUUGUCAAGCAGCUAGAGUUUUAUAAUGACUCGGCUGGCGACUUCCGGGAAACCAAAGUGUUUCGGUUCCAGGGGAAGUAUGGUUGCAAAGCUGAAACUUAAAGGAAUUGACGGAAGGGCACCACCAGGAGUGGAGCCUGCGGCUUAAUUUGACUCAACACGGGAAAACUCACCCGGUCCGGACACUGGAAUGAUUGACAGAUUAAGAGCUCUUUCUUGAUUCAGUGGGUGGUGGUGCAUGGCCGUUCUUAGUUGGUGGAGCGAUUUGUCUGGUUAAUUCCGAUAACGAACGAGACUCUAGCCUACUAAAUAGCACAUGGCAUCGUAAGCUGUCGUGGCGCUUCUUAGAGGGACAAACGGCGUUCCAGCCGUAUGAAAAAGAGCAAUAACAGGUCUGUGAUGCCCUUAGAUGUCCGGGGCCGCACGCGCGCUACACUGAAAAGAUCAGCGUGCAUCGAAAUCCUACUCUGAAAAGAGCGGGAAACCGAGUGAAACUUUUUCGUGAUUGGGAUUGGGGAUUGUAACUAUUGUCCAUGAACGAGGAAUUCCCAGUAAGCACAAGUCAUCAGCUUGUGUUGAUUACGUCCCUGCCCUUUGUACACACCGCCCGUCGCUACUACCGAUUGGAUGUUUUAGUGAGGUCUUUGGACUUGCCAUCGUGACUAUUCUCGUGGUAGCUACGUUGUGCGGGAAAGAUGACCAAACUUGAAUAUCUAGAGGAAGUAA
rnacentral:rRNA from 1 species